CAAAAACUUAACUUGCAUAAGUACACUUUGAUUCUCAUUGAUUUCCUUCUUGCCUUGAUUCCCUGAUUUCCUCCUAAUCAAUUUCUUCAUUUCAUCAAAUUGAAGCCCACUAAAAAUUUAGUUCCUUAUAUCUUUUUGUAUCUUCCAUUUUUGUGGGUUCGGAGGCAAAGUUGUCUACUGAGCUUUCCGAUGGAAUUCAUUGUUCCACUGUAUUUCUUCUUCUAGCUUAUAUGCAUACAAAAUUCUUUUCUUUUCUAUAUUACAGAAGUUAUAUUUCUAGAUGCAUGAUUAUAUUUUUACUUUAAUUUUUUAAUUGAGUAUUUUAAAACAUUUUACUUCUACUUCCCCUACUUAUCCUAUAACACUACAAAAAAGAACCGCUUGAUUGCUUGCAAUUUCUAGAAGAAUUUCGAGCACAAAAAGCGAGCAAAAUGCAAAAUAGGUGUCUCACACCGUGUUUGCUUUCCACCACAGCGAUAGCUACGUACCCCGUUGCCAUUGCAAUGGAUUCUAGCGAGCACUAUUGCCCCACGUUGCUGAUCUCUAUCGUUAUUGGCCUCUCUUUGCCGAUAUAUUCCUUCAACACAUUGCUUUAAUUAAAAUUAUCAAUUUUCUGAUAACUAAAAUUUGUUGAUUAAUGCAUCUUCUGCCUAUUUUUUUUUUUCCGAUUUUGAUGGUCUUACUGAAUUAUAUAAAAUCCUUGUGACUUUUACUUAUGUCUGGAUGUUAUAUUGUUAAGAUUGUGAUAUUUAGAUUUUGUCUAUGAGAUCAUUGUUCUUGCCAGCAAAGAAGAUUGUGACGAUAUUGAAACAAGUUCACGGAGCAGUUAAUAUUCAAGAUUAGCCUAAAUAGCUUAGCUGCUGGCUCUGCAUCUUCCUCCGGCUCGUAUGGCCUUAGCACUGACAAGGUCAAUGAACUUCUCGAGCGACGAGUACAACCAUUGCAGGAGAUCGAAGAAUUGCGGGAGCUAGUAAAGGUCGUCAAUCAGCAUGUUCAAGAGUCGAGAAGACGCGAAUUGUCGUAUUUGAACUAAAUUGUGGGAGCUAGUAGUAUUUGAACUAAAUUUGUGAUCUAAUUGAAUUGAAGGGUAAAACAAUAUUUCCUAUCAAUGUAAAAUUUGAACUUU